GACGAACGCUGGCGGCGUGCUUAACACAUGCAAGUCGAACGCUGAAGCUUGGUGCUUGCACUGGGUGGAUGAGUGGCGAACGGGUGAGUAAUACGUGAGUAACCUGCCCUUGACUCUGGGAUAAGCCUGGGAAACUGGGUCUAAUACUGGAUAUGACAUGCCACUGCAUGGUGGUGUGUGGAAAGGGUUUUACUGGUUUUGGAUGGGCUCACGGCCUAUCAGCUUGUUGGUGGGUAAUGGCUUACCAAGGCGACGACGGGUAGCCGGCCUGAGAGGGUGACCGGCCACACUGGGACUGAGACACGGCCCAGACUCCUACGGGAGGCAGCAGUGGGGAAUAUUGCACAAUGGGCGGAAGCCUGAUGCAGCGACGCCGCGUGAGGGAUGACGGCCUUCGGGUUGUAAACCUCUUUCAGCACGGAAGAAGCGAGAGUGACGGUACGUGCAGAAGAAGCGCCGGCUAACUACGUG
rnacentral:rRNA from 1 species